AAUUAGGUUUUUUAUUUACAGAAUCCUCCCAACCCUUUUCCUACCUUCAGCGGCCGAUGUGAAGAAAAUCCUCCCACCCACUGUAUUCGAUCUUAUUUUUUUCAACUAUCAACGCAUUCUCCCACCGUAUUCGAUUCUCAACCAUCAACACCAGAAGAAUCCUAAACGAUGUUGCCCCUAUUUGUCUUCUAUCUUGAAGAUUCGGAUUGAUAAAAACAAAAAUUGAAGAUUUGGAUUGGAUUUUUUCGUGAUGAUGAUGAAUCAAAGAUCCAGACUAAACCCUAAUUUUAAGAUUCGGAUUGUAUUUGUUCGUGACGAUGAUGAACCGAGGAUGAUUUCAGACUAUUUGAUUGAGCCCUUUUUCUCUCCUCAUUGACUUUCGGUUUUUCAAGGAUGCUAAUGAGCCCAUGUUUGUGAUCUAAAAGCUUACAACACCUUUAAAUAGACCAAGACCGUGGUCCUUGUCCGGCUUAUUCGUUCUCAAACUGUGUUAUACUUUGUGAUGUCAAGUCUAAAACUGUGUCCGUAUCACUCGUAUCACUUGGUGCAGAUGGGGAAGUGAAGCUCUUCUUGGGCAUAGCAGAUCAUGGCUAUUAGAGAUUAAAUCCAGAAUCUCAGGCAAAAGACCAAGGCUAAGGAUGAGAUUCGACUUUUUGUUUUUUCUUCUUCUAAAGUAAGCUACUGCAUCUUCUUAGAAUUAAAAGUGUAAACCGGCAUCUAGGUUGCCCCAUAAAGUUAACGCAAUUGUCAAGAACCUAAAGCCCAGUUUUCGUAAGUUCCGAAACUCGGUUUGUUUUGGUAUGCCUUACAUCCGAGAAUUAGUUCUUUUAAAUUGGUAUAAAAUUUCCAUUUUGGUCAGUUAUAACCGAGUAAAUGUACAAAAUGAUUGUUAAAAAUCUAAUCAUAUAUCUCGUCUUACAUGUGGGAUAUUACAAGAUUUUGUAUUAUUAUUAUUAUUAAAACUUAAAAAGCACAUGUGUUAAAUGUUAAUAGUUGAAACAUGAUUUUAUCAUAUUUUUUUUUUUGUUGCAGGGGAUGUUGCUAACCAGAGCAGUAUGUUAAUUCUACAAGAGACGCGAAUUGAUUUAGCGGGGUCCUUGGGUGGUGUAUGAGCUGGUGGAUAACCUAGCAAGGCAUGUGGUGAUGAAUGUGGGUGAUUCGGCUUAUGUGGGUCUUUUGUCGUCGGGGUUUGAGAUAAUCCUUGACGGGCCGGUAAUCGCGUUGUGUCGGAUACAGAGAAUGGUGGGGUGGGUGGUGGCGCGGCGAGUGAAUCUCUUUUGACUGUUGCAUUUUAGAUCCUUAUUAAUAAUUUAUGUCUUUUGCUACUAUAUUUCAACAAUAGUUUUGCAUUUAUGAACUUUGAUAUAUUUUGUGUUCUUUAUGCUUUUAGAAAUAUAUUUUGUAUUCUUUAUGCUUU